rnacentral:sRNA from 1 species
ACAAAAAUCUGCCCAACUAUCUUUUUCUAAUUUUCUAGUUGAUUCCAGAAAACAGCAAGCAUGGCCGGUGGAUUACCAAUAAUUAUUCUCAAUCAAAAUACUAAGAGAGAGUCUGGAAGAAAAGUCCAGAUAGGAAAUAUUGAAGCCG